GGGAGAAAUUGAUGAUUGUAUGGGCAUGUGUAAACACUGGAUAUUUAUUACACCUGUAGAAGGGUGUGUGUGUGUGUGUGUGUGUGUGUGUGUGUGUGUGUGUGUGUGUGUGUGUGUGUGUGUGUGUGUGUGUGUGUG